rnacentral:rRNA from 1 species
GACGAACGCUGGCGGCGUGCUUAACACACGCAAGUCGAACGGAAAGGCCCUGCUUUUGUGGGGUGCUCGAGUGGCGAACGGGUGAGUAACACGUGAGUAACCUGCCCUUGACUUUGGGAUAACUUCAGGAAACUGGGGCUAAUACCGGAUAGGAGCUCCUGCUGCAUGGUGGGGGUUGGAAAGUUUCGGCGGUUGGGGAUGGACUCGCGGCUUAUCAGCUUGUUGGUGGGGUAGUGGCUUACCAAGGCUUUGACGGGUAGCCGGCCUGAGAGGGUGACCGGCCACAUUGGGACUGAGAUACGGCCCAGACUCCUACGGGAGGCAGCAGUGGGGAAUAUUGCACAAUGGGCGGAAGCCUGAUGCGGCAACGCCGCGUGCGGGAUGACGGCCUUCGGGUUGUAAACCGCUUUCGCCUGUGACGAAGCGUGAGUGACGGUAAUGGGUAAAGAAGCACCGGCUAACUACGUG